AGAGCUUUGUUGUACUAUUUCGUUGCGUCAUCUGAACGUCAUGAAUUUCUUAAAAUUAUCUUGCAAUUAAUAUAUGUAUAUCAUAUUUUCAUAUCGUAAAAAAAUUUUGAAAAUAGGUGUUAUGAAAAAUAGCGCUAUUAUGAGAACUUAUUAAUCGUACGAAGGUUAUGUGACGUUACAUUGAUCAUCAAACAUUGAAAUGGAACGGAGCCAAACAUGAUUGGUCAAGAGGGAACUCGUGUGAAAUUUAAAAUGCUUACGUCGUCCAAACUUAUCUCGAGAGUCAUGGUCCUUCCUUGCGCGACGGGACCACAGUCCCACAGUCAACAGUUCUGCUGCUAUGUAUUUCGCAGUUCAGCCGUUUUGCAAGACAUUGAAGAGCCGCCACGGAUUCGUACAACCAAUCAGUUUCGCUGCGGGUCACGUGACUCUGUACACCAAUCGCGUGAAUUGUCCCUUCAUCUGUUUUCAGAGUUCAAAAUUAUUCGACGGUCGUGAUGUUAUACAUAUGUGUAUUUAUGUCAUCGAGUCAACACCGGGUACACAGAAUCUUAUCGAAGCUGGAAUGAUUUUUUUCACCGUAACGAAGAGGACAUUCUGCUACCAUUGUAAAGAUUUCAUGGCGGAAUGAUAACUGGGACUACGCUGCGAAUAGAAUUGCGAGUACCAUCUGCGAUAGGAUAUGAUGCUUCUGUCUUCUUUCACUAGGAGCGGCUUUUUCUCGAAUUUCUUUCGGUUCCAGAUCGCCACGUCCCUCUCGAACAUCAAACUCUCCCCUAAGAAUAUGAUUAAGGCGUACGGGGAGAGCAGUGCCGGGGCGUAAAUUACAUGAACCACCUGAUAACAUUACAAAAGCGUUGAUAACCGGAAGUCUUGAUAAUUCUACGCCGGCAGA